AGAAAUAAUACGGGAAUAUUAAAAUACAGCCGAACCUCAAUUUAACGAAUUAGUUUUGUCAUUUGUGUCAGUUUUCUUCAACAAGUUUUAAAAGCUAUUGUUAUUUAUAAAGUAUACACUUUCAAGAUCGUAGGCUAUUAAACCUCGUUGAAUGUUAUUACCUAAGAUUAUUAUUAUCAAUGCUUUCAAAAGUGUGGUAAAACAAAGUUUCGGAAGUAACAAUUCAAAAUUAUUUCACAAAAGCAGGAU